rnacentral:rRNA from 1 species
AGAGUUUGAUCCUGGCUCAGAUUGAACGCUGGCGGCGUGCCUAACACAUGCAAGUCGUGCGAGAAAGUGGGCUUCGGCCCGCGAGUACAGCGGCGCACGGGUGAGUAACACGUGGGUGAUCUACCCAACAGAUUGGGAUAACAGCGGGAAACUGCUGCUAAUACCGGAUACGAUCCAUUUAAUCGUGGAUGAAAGGCGGCCUCUGCUUGCAAGCUGCCACUGUUGGAUGAGCCCGCGUCCCAUUAGCUAGUUGGCGGGGUAAUGGCCCACCAAGGCAACGAUGGGUAGCUGGUCUGAGAGGAUGACCAGCCACACUGGGACUGAAACACGGCCCAGACUCCUACGGGAGGCAGCAGUGGGGAAUAUUGCGCAAUGGGCGAAAGCCUGACGCAGCGACGCCGUGUGAGGGAAGAAGGCCUUCGGGUCGUAAACCUCUGUCAGAAGGGAAGAACCCCCAAGGUUCGAAUAGGGCCUUGGGCUGACGGUACCUUCAGAGGAAGCACCGGCUAAUUCCGUGCCAGCAGCCGCGGUAAUACGGAAGGUGCAAGCGUUAAUCGGAAUCACUGGGCGUAAAGCGCACGUAGGCGGCUUGGUAAGUCGGAUGUGAAAGCCCUCGGCUCAACCGGGGAACUGCAUUCGAAACUGCCUGGCUGGAGUCCUGGAGAGGGUGGCGGAAUUCCCGGUGUAGGAGUGAAAUCCGUAGAUAUCGGGAGGAACACCAGUGGCGAAGGCGGCCACCUGGACAGGUACUGACGCUGAGGUGCGAAAGUGUGGGGAGCAAACAGGAUUAGAUACCCUGGUAGUCCACACCGUAAACGAUGGAUGCUAGGUGUCGGGGAGUACUCUUCGGCGCCGUAGUUAACGCGUUAAGCAUCCCGCCUGGGGAGUACGGUCGCAAGGCUGAAACUCAA